GGGCCUGUAGCUCAGUGGUCAGAGCGGACGGCUCAUAACCGUUUGGUCGGGGGUUCAAGUCCCCCCGGGCCCACCA
rnacentral:tRNA from 1 species